UACAGAGGGUGCAAACGUUGUUCGGAAUCACUGGGCAUAAAGCGUACGUAGGCGGCGUCGUAAGUGUCGGAUGAAAUCCCACGGCUUACCCGUGGAACGGUCCGGCAUACUGCGGUGCUAGAGGAUGGUAGAGGAGAGCGGAACUCUUGGUGGAGCGGUGAAAUGCGUAGAUAUCGAGAGGAACACCUGCGGCGAAGGCGGGUUGGUGGGCCGACACUGACGCUGAUGCGCGAAAGCUAGGGGAGCAAGCGGG
rnacentral:rRNA from 1 species